UACGUAGGGUGCAAGCGUUAAUCGGAAUUACUGGGCGUAAAGCGUGCGCAGGCGGUGAUGUAAGACAGAUGUGAAAUCCCCGGGCUCAACCUGGGAACUGCAUUUGUGACUGCAUCGCUGGAGUGCGGCAGAGGGGGAUGGAAUUCCGCGUGUAGCAGUGAAAUGCGUAGAUAUGCGGAGGAACACCGAUGGCGAAGGCAAUCCCCUGGGCCUGCACUAACGCUCAUGCACGAAAGCGUGGGGAGCAAACAGG
rnacentral:rRNA from 1 species